rnacentral:tRNA from 1 species
GGUCUCAUAGUAUAAUGAUUAGCGCUCUGGACUCUGAAUCCAGCGAUCCGAGCUCAAAUCUCGGUGGGAACC